UACGUAGGGGGCAAGCGUUGUCCGGAAUUAUUGGGCGUAAAGCGCUCGCAGGUGGUUCGUUGCGUCGUGCGUGAAAGACCCCGGCUCAACUGGGGAGGGUCGUGCGAUACGGGCGGACUGGAGGCCAGUAGGGGGAUGCGGAAUUCCGGGUGUAGUGGUGGAAUGCGUAGAGAUCCGGAGGAACACCAGCGGCGAAGGCGGCAUCCUGGACUGGUCCUGACACUCAGGAGCGAAAGCGUGGGGAGCGAUCCGG
rnacentral:rRNA from 1 species